UACGUAGGGUGCGAGCGUUAAUCGGAAUUACUGGGCGUAAAGCGUGCGCAGGCGGUGAUGUAAGACCGAUGUGAAAUCCCCGGGCUUAACCUGGGAACUGCAUUGGUGACUGCAUUGCUGGAGUAUGGCAGAGGGGGGGUGGAAUUCCACGUGUAGCAGGUGAAAUGCGUAGAGAUGUGGAGGAAUACCGAUGGCGAAGGCAGCCCCCUGGGAUAACACUGACGCUCAUGCACGAAAGCGUGGGGAGCAAACAGG
rnacentral:rRNA from 1 species